rnacentral:lncRNA from 1 species
AGCUAUAUUAUAGUUAGGCUUUUGUGUUUUCAUUAGAGCCUGUGCAGAAGCCUGGGCUGUUGGAGGUGUGGAAGCUGAGAAAGCAGAAAGGGAAAAAUGGGAAACCAGAGAGAGAAAAAAAAUCCAAGAUAGCAUUGAUGCUUUAGCAGCAAUCAGGUGGAAAGCAGAGGAAAAGAAAAGAAGAAAGUAUAUGGAAGAAAAAGAGGCAAGUGCUGAAUCUGGAAAUGGAGACUUAACAGACAUCCUAGAAGGGGCACCUGAAAAUUCAGAUAACAAAGAUGGAAAUUCUAAUACACUGGAGAGUUCAAAUAUAUCAGAAGAGGAAGAAACUCAAGAGAAGACUGACAAAUUUAGAAAUGAAAGUUUUGAUUGUCAUGAUGAAGUGAUAACACUUUUACGAAAUGGAAGAGAUAAUACAGAUUUCACAUCUGCUAGAAUUCAAGAGGACGCACAGGAAUCAAACUGUAACAAAUGCCCAAACUUCAACAAGGAGACAGGUGAUCUACCAAGAGAGAAGGCAGCUACUGGAAAGGCCAUACUUCCUGAACUGGAUCAAUAUGCUGAAACUGAACAAACCAAACUGGAGACACUGGAGAAACUUCAUCUUGAUGAAUUGCCUGAUUUAGAAGACACUGAUGUAAAUGAAUUUCCUCCAGAAGAGGAAAGCUUUGUUCAAAAGGC